rnacentral:lncRNA from 1 species
CUUUAAUUAAAAAUAAUAAUUCAAGAGAAACGAUUCCCUAAUUGCAUGUUGUUUAAAUUGCAAUAAAAACACAGAGGUUUAAUUUGUUUAUUUAAUAUUUUUAUCUAAAUUCACAUUUCGCCUUAAUUCAAUUCCCAUCUGGCCUUAGUAUAUUUUUUACCUUUUUUACCUGGAAUUUCCAGUUAAGGCGAAAUGAGAACACACC